GACGAACGCUGGCGGCGUGCUUAACACAUGCAAGUCGAACGGAAAGGCCCUGCUUUUGUGGGGUGCUCGAGUGGCGAACGGGUGAGUAACACGUGAGUAACCUGCCCUUGACUUUGGGAUAACUUCAGGAAACUCGGGCUAAUACCGGAUAGGAGCUCCUGCUGCAUGGUGGGGGUUGGAAAGUUUCGGCGGUUGGGGAUGGACUCGCGGCUUAUCAGCUUGUUGGUGGGGUAGUGGCUUACCAAGGCUUUGACGGGUAGCCGGCCUGAGAGGGUGACCGGCCACAUUGGGACUGAGAUACGGACCAGACUCCUACGGGAGGCAGCAGUGGGGAAUAUUGCACAAUGGGCGGAAGCCUGAUGCAGCAACGCCGCGUGCGGGAUGACGGCCUUCGGGUUGCAAACCGCUUUCGCCUGUGACGAAGCGUGAGUGACGGUAAUGGGUAAAGAAGCACCGGCUAACUACGUG
rnacentral:rRNA from 1 species